GACAGAGGAGCCAAGCGUUGUCCGGAUUGACUGGGCGUAAAGCGCACGCAGGCGGUCGCGCGCGUGGGGUGUGAAAACUGGCGGCUUAACUGCCAGAGGCCAUCCCAUACGGCGUGACUCGAGCCAUGCAGAGGUCCACGGAAUUGCCGGUGUAGUGGUGAAAUGCGUAGAGAUGUGGAGGAACACCGAUGGCGAAGGCAGCCUUCUGGGCCAACACUGACGCUCAUGCACGAAAGCGUGGGGAGCAAACAGG
rnacentral:rRNA from 1 species